CCACCCGAUGUGGCCUCCCAAAGUCCUGGGAUUACAGGCAUGAGCCACCGUGCCCAGCCUAGAGUUGCAAUUAACUUCUAUUCAUGUCAAGUAAUAUUGGUUUUCCAUUUAUAAUAAUAAAUGUAUUUUAGGCUGAUAGCCGUGGCUCAUGCCUGUAAUCCUAGCACUUUGGGAGGCUAAUGUGGGCUGAUUACUUAACGCCAGAUGCUUGAGACCAGCCUGGCCAAAGUGGCAAAAACCCUGUCUGUACUAAAAAUUAGCUGGCAAGGUGGUGUGUGCAUGUAAUCCUUGCUAGUGAGGAGGAUGCCGCACAAGAAUUGCUUGAGCCCAGGAGGCGGAGGUUGCAGUGAGCCAUAAUCAUAUCACCACAUUCCAGACAAAACAACAGAGCAAGACUCUGCCUUAAAAAAAAAUUGUGAAAAGAUGAGACCUGCUUCUCAGCCAUAGAAAAAAACUGGGCUAACUCAGCCAUGCUAGAGCACAGCCCAGAGACGGUAGACAA